GGCGCUGUGGCUCAGUGGUAGAGUGCUUGCCUUGCAUGCAUGAGGCCCUGGGUUCGAUUCCUCAGCACCA
rnacentral:tRNA from 1 species